rnacentral:lncRNA from 1 species
CCAAGGUGACCAAAAAAGUGCCUAACUAUCCUAGGAUGUGUCUAAGUGACCAAAGGUGUAUUUAAGUGUCCUAAAAGUGUACCUAAAUGUGCUAUCUUGAAAAGAAGAUACUAAACCUAACUUGGGGUUGCCAAAUGUCACAAUGAGGGGCCAAACCAACCCUCAAUCAGAGUCUCUAAGGUGCCUUUAAAAAAAAUAAAAUUGAGCCAAAGAAGCAUUGAGCCACCAAGGAACUACUGUGGAG